rnacentral:lncRNA from 1 species
UUUAUUAUUAUGAUUGUGUACACGUACGCGUGACAUGGUUAAAGCAUCGAUUUUCAAAUUAAACUAAGGUACACGUUCGCGUGACUUUGGCCAAGUAAUAUUAAUAUUAAUUAAGGGCAAUUAAUUAUGUAUAUGUACGCAUGCUAUGAUUUUUAGCGCACUAAAUAAAAUGAGUACACAUACGCAUGACUCGUUUCGAGAUAACUAUUAACUACAACUAAACAAAUAGAGAUCCAAAUAAUAGUUGUAGUUAACAAUUGGAGGUUUCACCUAGUUACUGAAUCAAAUUGUUUUUAAACCAAUGUAUGAUGUAGCGGAAAGGAAGUUAACUACAACUAUUCAUGAAAUUACUUUAUCAACCUACCAUGUAAUUAACUACAACUAGUAUUCAACUCACAAUGCUCGCACAAAUCUGAGAAAUAGCAACUCACACAAUCUGAUACAGUCCAAAUUACUUAUAACAAUCAGUUACUCAUAUUCUAAUUAACUUAGUCCAUGAGCAUAUACAAAGAUAUGCAUAACAAAAAGAAAACAGCCAGUAGGAAUCAAUUUGAGCCUUCUAUUUCAUCUCUCAAACCAAGCAUACAUUGUCAUGGAUUCAGAAUUUGUACCUGAAAUUGAAUAAAAUGAUGACAAAUGACAGUCAGCUACAGCAGCAGAUCAAUAGAAGUACAACUAAUAGCAAAGAACAGCAGAUUCCAGUCCUAAAAUCCUGGAGAUAUUUUAACGAUAAAUCCACCAAUCACACGAUCAAAAACAGCUUGAACAACAUCAAACAACUUGAAAUUGAACCCAGAAAUGCACUUUGAAGUUUCAGCAAUCAAUCAACAAGGAAUUCUCAAAUCGUUUUCAUAUUUUCUACGCUAGAAAUUCGAAUCUGAAGCUAUUACUUGAAAUUAAUCUAAAAAACUCAAUGUAACAGUACUUUUUGAAAUUUUCUCUUCUUUUUUUUUUUGUUUUUGGUUUUUUGAAGAACUAGAUCUAGAAUUUUUUAUUUGAGAUUCAAAUCUCCAACUUGUGAAGACUUGUGAAAAUUUGGGGGAGAUUGAAACUUGUGAAUUAAGGCAUUGGAGGCUGCCUCAUAUAGGAAAAAAUGAGGGCACCCCUCAGCUUAUCGAUUUUACCCUUUAGUUCCUCCUUUAUUUUAACGUUUUAGCUAGUUGCCCCCUGAUUUACUGACUUGUUGCCCAAGCCACACUAUUAAGUCCUUAAAACUCUAACUAAAACCCUAUCGAGAAGCUUCCAGGCAUUCUACUUCAGUUAGUACAAGAUUCCCUUUGUCGAAAAGUCUAUACUAUCCCUAAAUUUUAUCUGAAAUUAUUAACUUAUGUUUACCAACCCCCAAUCCUAUUAAUUGGACCAUGGUUACUAAAUUACAAGCUAGAGACUAGUCAUCAAUAACCAAGCAGAGUUUAAAAAUUGAAUUCAUCAAUCUAGCUAAUCAAAACUGAAUUUCAACAUCUAAUUAAUAUGAUUCCUAAAACUAAAACUAUCGUUAAAACUGUAAACUUAUUAUUAAAAUCAAACAAAUAAGACUGAAACUAACUAUGAAGAAUGGCAAAGUAAACGAACAAAAUCAAAAAUAUAAAACAAUAGCUAAAACAAGGAAUCAAAUCAAGAAAUCAAAAUGACUAAUAAUAAAGCAAACUAAACUAUAUGUUUGUAAAAGAAAUCAGAACCCUAACUCAUCACAAACAACUCUGAAUAAAAUAGAAGAAAAUAAAAAAAUGAAACUACGGAUGAACACAGAAUAAGAGGUAAGAAUUAAAUACCUCGAAUUUUUUUGAUUAAAACUUGAACAUUGGAAAUUUCUCGAACUAUUUCAGUUACAACCGUCUUUUAUCACGCGUUUUCAUGAGAAAACACACGAUUAAAGACUAUUAUAGCCCAAACCCACAAAUACCCGAAUAUUAAGCAAUUAGGGUUUUGGACAGCUUUUCGAUCUGAAAUUCGAGAAGCUUGGUCGAUAUUUGAGGGAGAAGGAGGACAGAUAUAGGAUGGGGAGGUCCGGUGGUUAAGGGUUAUCGAUUUGGGAGGGUUUGAAGGCGGCGAAAGGUGGCAACAUUAGGUUAUGGUCUCUGAAGGGACUAAGUCUUCUGAGAGACAAGACAGGGGGGAUGGGAAUUCGGACAGUAUAUACUGGGAACCUCGUUAGUUCCCACCCGUAGGAU